GUGCCAAUCAAAAAGAGUAAUGGAACAGGGAAUGGAAAGCUGGCUUCUUCAGCCUGUUACUGCGCACAGUCUGAGCAACUUGCACAAGCCAAGGGAAACAUUUCUCUUCUGAAGAGGAGCCAGGCUUCCAGAAAUACCUCCUCUCUCCUUUUCUCCUUGUGUGCAAUGCUGGGACCCUCCUGUGCGUCCCGCCUGUGGUGGCAGCCUGUGGUGGCAGCCUGUUGCUUACUACAGUGCAAGCAGUGGGAAGAAGUGUGGCCGAAUGUAACCCGGAAAGGAUAUAGAUGCUUCUUCUGUGGAAUACAGCAGUCAGUGAUUGGUUACAGCAUGGCUUCUCUUGCACAUUGCUUGGAUUUCAGCAUUUGCAUAUGAAAGAUGGGCAGAAAAGGGUGCUGUGAAGCUGCAAUCAGACUGUGCUGUGGUAAAGAAGAGAAAGCAGCAGCUGUGUUCUGACAUUGGCCUUGUACUUCACUAUGGGAUCUUAGUCAAGGCCUCCUUUCAUGAGUAACUGAGCUGUGUUACAGCCGUGCGAACCCAGGGGCAGUGUGAGGACCCAGCCUUGUGUGCACAUCUGGUGCUGCUUUACUCACGUUCUCCCACUCAGAAAGUCUGAUGAUAAAGACCUUAGGAAAGGAGUACAUCUCAGUGCUAGAGAAACCAGCCUGGAUUCUGUUAAUGAACCAUUUUCUCUGCGAGGUAACUGCAGUGUUAGCAAGGAGGUAGAUUUGAACUGCCCUGUUUCCUUGUUAAGGCUACCAGAGUAUUAGGCCAACUACCAGCAGGCUGGAAUAGAUCUGAACCAAUAAUAUUCAUGGGGAAUUGGUGAUGUUUUCAUCCUAGCCCCAUAUUUGAUAAAACAGCAGCAGCAUGUGUAAUGACAAAGCAGUUACCACCAAGCAUGGAUUGGAGUGCAAAGCUCUGCUCCCAGUCUGUUUUUUCAGACAAGACGACUCGGUGAUCCUUGUUUAUAGCAACUAUACUUUUAAGAAUGGAAGUGUGGGGAGUAAGGCCAUCACUUUGCAAGACACAUUUUUAUGGAGUUGAUCCAAGAUCCUGGGGACCAAGUCUUCAGUUGAGGCAGCAAGGGAGACAGAUACUUGAUCUGCUCCCCUCACCUGUGAUGUGCUGCAGCCUGCUACCUGGCAAGGAAUAUCUACAGGAAUAAAACUUACAGAAUUAUGUUAUGUUAUGGGUAGGAAUACCAUCAGCUCCAGACUGAUUCCUGCAGUUCACUCUGGCAGUAAGGAAGAUGUUUCAAGAGUCCAGCUCUAAUUGUUCUUGAUUUUCACUGAGUCUUAACAUAAGCUGUUGUUCAUAAUAAAGGCUCUUUGCAUAGUUUAUUUCUUGACAUAGCUUCACUGCAAGAACUUCAGAUUUCACAUUGACCUGCAGAAAGAAGUGUGGAUGUUGUUAAUGAGGCACCAUUAUAUUUUUAUUUCACUGACUGAAGGAAUUUGCAUGGCUGUGCUUGAAGGAAUAGAAGUGCUUCAGUGGAAAUCUUCUCAGGGCUGAGGAUGAGGGAUGGAAGAAAUGAGAAAGACAGGUAAUAAGAGUUUCGGUGAUAGUGGGUGGGAACAGAAACAUCUUGCAAUAUCUGAAGUUAUUUCCUUUGCUUCCUCUCCUACCUUUCAUCUGGCUGCUCUGUUUGGAAUGUAAACUGACUUAGGUCAGGGGUGAGCUUGUAACCUUGUCUGUAAAACAGACCUGGAACAACUACUGUAAUGAAGCAAAAACCCACGACAUUGAGAGGUGAGAUACUGAGUAAUUUUUGCAUGUGUGACAUCAACAAUCAAUUUCCAAUCUUUGGAAGAUGCCAUGUAUGCAGGGAGAGCACUACAGUAAAUAGCACAGUGCUUAACUGCAUGUAUUGUGUAAUUAAGAUUAUUUCUCAGCUGAAGAAAUAUUUCCUAAUGUACCCUGUGCAUUCAGGAGUAUUUCAGAUUUUACCUUCAACUUUUCUCAGGAGAACAAGUUCUACUCAGCGCAACCUUUUUGGCAGCAGUUAUUUUCACUGCUGGCAGAAUGAAGUUUUCAUUAUUGAACAGUGCAAGAAAGCAAACACUGAUGAGUAGAAGUAUUUUGGCAUCAGUACGUGCAUGGAGGGGGAAAGAAACCCUGCAUGGAAGACCCAACAGGCACCAGUCCUUACCAUUGGUUUUUGUUGUGAUGGGCCUGGCAUUGCUACACCACUGCUUGUAUUAACAGCUUUCUUGGUCAGCUGCACGUACACUUUCCCAUGAUCUUUUGAAACAAGGCAGUGGUAGAGGUCAUCAUACUUCACUUCUAGGAAGAUGGCUUCGCGGUCGGUGUAGUCACCACUCUUGAGGAAAUAAACAGCUUUAGAUGAGAUCAGAACACAGUACUUCUCUAUGUUCUCCACUGCUAUGAAGCUGCGAAAGAGAAAAACCAAAAUGAAAAGAAGGAAAUGAAUCACUUGAUAAAAAUACUCAGCUGUAACAAAGGUCUCAACCUUGUACAUUUUCAAUGACCUUUGGAAGUCUUAAAGAAAACCAACAGCAUAACACGUACAAUCCAUUUGCAUUUAAAGUGUUCUAGAAACCCAGCUGGUGUGCACCCCUCAGCUCAAAAGACCAGGUUGUAAACCAAGUAUGAGCACUAAAUGCCUGGCUUCUAGCUUUGAUGUUAAAAGGCUGUAUAAAAAUAGUCUCUAACAAGACUUAGGAAGAUCAACUUCCUUGCAUUUAAACGCUGAGUGACUGAUUUGUGACUUCAGUCCUUACUGAUAGGUGAAAAAGUUUGCAGGUAAUGAUAAAAGCCUUUUUUUUUAACACAUAAACCUACUGUGCCUCCUUCUGCCACACACCUCCCCCGCCUUUAAAAACAAAAAACAAGUUUAACCUGCUGCCUGGAUCAGUAGCUAGAAAAGAGAAAUUAGCUGUUUAACUCUGGGGUGAAAGGUUAAGCAGCAAGCAGGUUUCCCCAGAGAGAUUAGUCCAAGUGAUGAAUAGGGGAGGUAGAAAAGAGUGAAUUAAGAAGAUGGAGAAUUACGAUGGCUGAAAAGGUUGAUGUGUAAAAGUUAGUAGGAAGGCAUGCAAAAGUGAAAUAGAUAAUGCACACACAACCACUCCUCAUUUGUGAUUUACUACUGAAAUGAACUCCAUUUGUGAUUUUCCUUUUUCAAAGAAAAAAAAAGCUGAAAUUUUCAGAAAAUUAUAUUUGGAGACACAAGAAAGAAAGAAAGAAUGCUGAGUUUUGUAUGAAAGUACAAACUAAACUGUCAAACCAGGAUUCUCCUGCUUUCAGGUGGGUUCGAAUUCACUAUUUUUUGAGCUGCUGUUUGUGCAUAUCUGGCUGUUGUUGCCCUGAUAUGUUCAGCAGAAUUCUCCACUGUGUUUGAAAACACAGUGAAGAUUUUCAGUCCUAAGAGCCUUUGUCUGAAAAGUUCACCAUCUCCACUGAUCAGUUCCAAACCUACUGUCUGCUUUUCUACUUAGGUAACACUUUGUACAAAUACUGUGAGCUGCAUCCCAUAACCUUAGGCUACCAGUGGAAUGCCAGCAACCAAAAAUAUUCUAAGCUCAGAUGAUGGUUUGUUUUGCAAUGUAAAGGAAAAUUCUAGCAAUUUAUUUCUAUUAAUACUCGUCUGCAAGAUGCUGCUCAGUGCUGAACUUGUCUUUUCUCUGCCCUAUGCCUCCCAGUCAUAUCAGCUAACACUUUGGUUUCCAUAAAGGUGAAAAAGGCAUACGUGCUCAUUCAAGUUGUUCAGUUUUCAUUUUAAGUGGCGAGAAGAGGCAUUCUUAACCUGCUGGGCAGCCUGCAGAACAGUCUUGUUUCUGACAACAGGCAAAUAAAAGUCCAGUGUUUCACAGAGAUCCACGUCUGACUUGGGCAAUACUUCCACUGGAAGAGCAACCUGAGUGAAGCUGCUGCACACUGCUUUUGUUUCUUUUCCAGCAGGGAGAGAAAAUUAAAAAAAGGUGAUCAUCGGAAAUCUCAAAUAUAUUCUACUACCAUUCUUUGCAACUGUCAAGGUAGAGCUGAGAGACUUCAGAAGAUAUUGUGCACCCACAAAAGCAGAACAGCUGGUUUUUUCCCCACAUAUAUGGGAUUCCAGCCUUCUGUAUGGAGACAGCCACAGAGAGAACCCGACCAGCAAAAGCUGCUGUGAAGUUCAGUGGGAACAACUGGGAAACCAGACUGCAGGGCUGUAUUUUUCUCCCCAGCAGAAGAUUGUAUCUCUGAUUUUUCAUGGCGUCAUGCGUGCACUCUGAGGACUGCAAACGGGACGCACUUUAUGGCGAAGCACUGAAACAUCAGCUUGUUUGUAGUUCAAGCUCUACAUUUUGUUCUAACUUUGAGUCAUGCAUCAUUACCCAUUUUCUCUUGCCAACUGUUAUUUUCUUCUCCAUGCCUGGUUCUCAAAAUGGGUAUUUAACCUUUUAAGAUACGACUACAAGAUAGAAUGUCAUUGAUUUAUAUGUUUUAAAAAACCCAACAAACUUUCGUCAACACUAUUUUAAA